UUGCGGCCACAUCACGUUGAAACACCAGUUCUCGUACGAUCACCGAAGUUAAGCAACAUUGAGUGAUCAGUACCUAAAUGGGUGAUCAUUUGGGAUACCAGGUAC